rnacentral:rRNA from 1 species
UACAGAGGUCCCAAGCGUUGUUCGGAUUCACUGGGCGUAAAGGGUGCGUAGGUGGUGAGGUAAGUCGGAUGUGAAAUCUCCGAGCUCAACUCGGAAAUGGCAUUGGAAACUACCUUGCUCGAGGGUUGGAGGGGGACGUGGGAAUGCUUGGUGUAGCAGUGAAAUGCGUAGAUAUCAAGCGGAACACCAGUGGCGAAGGCGAGUCCCUGGACAACUCCUGACCACUGAGGCACGAAAGCUAGGGGAGCAAACAGG